CUUGGUCAUUUAGAGGAAGUAAAAGUCGUAACAAGGUUUCCGUAGGUGAACCUGCGGAAGGAUCAUUAAUGAAUUUAGAUUGAACCAUAGGCGAAAGCCAGUGGUUCUUCUUUCAUAUCCAUAACACCUGUGCACUGUUGGAUGCUUGCAUCCACUUUUAAACUAAACAUUAUUGUAACAAAUGUAGUCUUAUUAUAACAUAAUAAAACUUUCAACAACGGAUCUCUUGGCUCUCGCAUCGAUGAAGAACGCAGCGAAAUGCGAUAAGUAAUGUGAAUUGCAGAAUUCAGUGAAUCAUCGAAUCUUUGAACGCACCUUGCGCUCCUUGGUAUUCCGAGGAGCAUGCCUGUUUGAGUGUCAUGAAGCCCUCAAACCCAAGUUUUGGAUUUCGAUCCAUGCUUGAGUUUGGAUUUGGAUGUUUGCCGGUGAUGAACCGACUCAUCUUAAAAGUAUUAGCUUGGAUCUGUCUAUAUGACUGGUUUGACUUGGCAUAGUAAGUAUUUUGCUGAGGACAUCUUCGGAUGGCCAGGACCUAGACUACUGUCUGCUAACUAAACCAUCACUUUAAGUGCAUCUUUGGAUGUUACUCAUUGUGUAACUUUCGACAUCUGGCCUCAAAUCAAGUAGGACUACCCCGCUGAACUUAAGCAUAUCAAUAAGCGGAGGA
rnacentral:rRNA from 1 species